CCUGGUUGAUCCUGCCAGUAGUCAUAUGCUUGUCUCAAAGAUUAAGCCAUGCAUGUCUAAGUAUAAGCGACUAUACUGUGAAACUGCGAAUGGCUCAUUAAAUCAGUUAUGGUUUAUUUGAUGGUACCUUGCUACUUGGAUAACCGUAGUAAUUCUAGAGCUAAUACAUGCAGGAGUUCCCGACUCACGGAGGGAUGUAUUUAUUAGAUAAGAAACCAAACCGGUCUCCGGUUGCGUGCUGAGUCAUAAUAACUGCUCGAAUCGCACGGCUCUACGCCGGCGAUGGUUCAUUCAAAUUUCUGCCCUAUCAGCUUUCGAUGGUAGGAUAGAGGCCUACCAUGGCGUUAACGGGUAACGGAGAAUUAGGGUUCGAUUCCGGAGAGGGAGCCUGAGAAAUGGCUACCACAUCCAAGGAAGGCAGCAGGCGCGUAAAUUGCCCGAAUCCUGACACAGGGAGGUAGUGACAAGAAAUAACAAUACAGGGCUAUUUUAGUCUUGUAAUUGGAAUGAGUACAAUUUACAUCUCUUCACGAGGAUCAAUUGGAGGGCAAGUCUGGUGCCAGCAGCCGCGGUAAUUCCAGCUCCAAUAGCGUAUAUUAAAGUUGUUGCAGUUAAAACGCUCGUAGUCGGAUUUCGGGGCGGGCCGACCGGUCUGCCGAUGGGUAUGCACUGGCCGGCGCGUCCUUCCACCCGGAGACCGCGCCUACUCUUAACUGAGCGGGCGCGGGAGACGGGUCUUUUACUUUGAAAAAAUCAGAGUGUUUCAAGCAGGCAGCUCGCUUUUGCAUGGAUUAGCAUGGGAUAAUGAAAUAGGACUUUGGUGCUAUUUUGUUGGUUUCGAACACCGAAGUAAUGAUUAACAGGGACAGUCAGGGGCACUCGUAUUCCGCCGAGAGAGGUGAAAUUCUCAGACCAGCGGAAGACGAACCACUGCGAAAGCAUUUGCCAGGGAUGUUUUCACUGAUCAAGAACGAAAGUUAGGGGAUCGAAGACGAUCAGAUACCGUCGUAGUCUUAACCAUAAACCAUGCCGACUAGGGAUUGGAGGAUGUUCCAUUUGUGACUCCUUCAGCACCUUUCGGGAAACUAAAGUCUUUGGGUUCCGGGGGGAGUAUGGUCGCAAGGCUGAAACUUAAAGGAAUU
rnacentral:rRNA from 1 species